AAAUAGGAUCUGAUCCAAAGCCCAGUAAAGUCCAUGCAAGUCUUUCCAUUGACUUCAGUGGGCUUUGGAUCAGACUGACAUU
rnacentral:pre_miRNA from 1 species